UAGGGAAUCUUCCGCAAUGGGCGAAAGCUUGACGGAGCAACGCCGCGUGAGUUAUGAGGGUCUUCGGAUCGUAAAACUCUGUUAUUAGGGAAGAACAAAUGUGUAAGUAACUAUGCACGUCUUGACGGUACCUAAUCAGAAAGCCACGGCUAACUACGUGCCAGCAGCCGCGGUAAUACGUAGGUGGCAAGCGUUAUCCGGAAUUAUUGGGCGUAAAGCGCGCGUAGGCGGUUUUUUAAGUCUGAUGUGAAAGCCCACGGCUCAACCGUGGAGGGUCAUUUGAAACUGGAAAACUUGAGUGCAGAAGAGGAAAGUGGACUUCCAUGUGUAGCGGUGAAAUGCGCAGAGAUAUGGAGGAACACCAGUGGCGAAGGCGACUUUCUGGUCUGUAACUGACGCUGAUGUGCGAAAGCGUGGGGAUCAAACAGG
rnacentral:rRNA from 1 species